rnacentral:rRNA from 1 species
AGAACGAACGCUGGCGGCAUGCCUAAUACAUGCAAGUCGAACGAACACUUCGGUGUUAGUGGCGCACGGGUGCGUAACGCGUGGGAAUCUGCCCUUGGGUUCGGAAUAACAGUUGGAAACGACUGCUAAUACCGGAUGAUGACGAAAGUCCAAAGAUUUAUCGCCCAGGGAUGAGCCCGCGUAGGAUUAGCUAGUUGGUGAGGUAAAGGCUCACCAAGGCGACGAUCCUUAGCUGGUCUGAGAGGAUGAUCAGCCACACUGGGACUGAGACACGGCCCAGACUCCUACGGGAGGCAGCAGUAGGGAAUAUUGGACAAUGGGGCGCAAGCCUGAUCCAGCAAUGCCG